CUUGCAAGUCGAACGAGUUCUGAUUAUUGAAGGGUGCUUGCAUCUUGAUUUAAUUUUGAACGAGUGGCGGACGGGUGAGUAACACGUGGGUAACCUGCCCUUAAGUGGGGGAUAACAUUUGGAAACAGAUGCUAAUACCGCAUAAAUCCAAGAACCGCAUGGUUCUUGGCUGAAAGAUGGCGUAAGCUAUUCGCUUUUGGAUGGACCCCCGGCGUAUUAGCUAGUUGGGGAGGUAACGGCUCACCCAAGGCAAUGAUACGUAGCCGAACUGAGAGGUUGAUCGGCCACAUUGGGACUGAGACACGGCCCCAAACUCCUACGGGAGGCAGCAGUAGGGAAUCUUCCCACAAUGGACGCAAGUCUGAUGGAGCAACGCCGCGUGAGUGAAGAAGGCUUUCGGGUCGUAAAACUCUGUUGUUGGAGAAGAAUGGUCGGCAGAGUAACUGUUGUCGGCGUGACGGUAUCCAACCAGAAAGCCACGGCUAACUACGUGCCAGCAGCCGCGGUAAUACGUAGGUGGCAAGCGUUAUCCGGAUUUAUUGGGCGUAAAGCGAGCGCAGGCGGUUUUUUAAGUCUGAUGUGAAAGCCCUCGGCUUAACCGAGGAAGUGCAUCGGAAACUGGGAAACUUGAGUGCAGAAGAGGACAGUGGAACUCCAUGUGUAGCGGUGAAAUGCGUAGAUAUAUGGAAGAACACCAGUGGCGAAGGCGGCUGUCUGGUCUGUAACUGACGCUGAGGCUCGAAAGCAUGGGUAGCGAACAGGAUUAGAUACCCUGGUAGUCCAUGCCGUAAACGAUGAAUGCUAGGUGUUGGAGGGUUUCCGCCCUUCAGUGCCGCAGCUAACGCAUUAAGCAUUCCGCCUGGGGAGUACGACCGCAAGGUUGAAACUCAAAGGAAUUGACGGGGGCCCGCACAAGCGGUGCGAGCAUGUGGUUUAAUUCGAAGCAACGCGAAGAACCUUACCAGGUCUUGACAUCUUUUGAUCACCUGAGAGAUCAGGUUUCCCCUUCGGGGGCAAAAUGACAGGUGGUGCAUGGUUGUCGUCAGCUCGUGUCGUGAGAUGUUGGGUUAAGUCCCGCAACGAGCGCAACCCUUAUGACUAGUUGCCAGCAUUUAGUUGGGCACUCUAGUAAGACUGCCGGUGACAAACCGGAGGAAGGUGGGGAUGACGUCAAAUCAUCAUGCCCCUUAUGACCUGGGCUACACACGUGCUACAAUGGAUGGUACAACGAGUUGCGAGACCGCGAGGUCAAGCUAAUCUCUUAAAGCCAUUCUCAGUUCGGACUGUAGGCUGCAACUCGCCUACACGAAGUCGGAAUCGCUAGUAAUCGCGGAUCAGCACGCCGCGGUGAAUACGUUCCCGGGCCUUGUACACACCGCCCGUCACACCAUGAGAGUUUGUAACACCCGAAGCCGGUGGCGUAACCCUUUAGGGAGCGAGCCUUCCUA
rnacentral:rRNA from 2 species